rnacentral:rRNA from 1 species
UACGUAGGGGGCAAGCGUUGUCCGGAUUCAUUGGGCGUAAAGAGCGUGUAGGCGGCCAGGUAGGUCGGUUGUGAAAACUGGAGGCUCAACCUUCAGACGUCGAUCGAAACCAUCUGGCUAGAGUCCGGGAGAGGAGAGUGGAAUUCCUGGUGUAGCGGUGAAAUGCGCAGAUAUCAGGAGGAACACCAACGGCGAAGGCAGCUCGCUGGGACGGUACUGACGCUGAGGCGCGAAAGCGUGGGGAGCGAACAGG